UGUUUUUUUUUACUUUGGACUUUAGGGUAAAAUUGAAAGUCUCUGUAAAGAGUUGUUUAAGAUUUUAAGAUUUAGCGAACGAGCCAGAUUAGUACCUGGUUAGAUAAAAGUUAAAAGAGCAGGAGUAAAGUUGUAUUUAAACUGUAAGAAUAUUGGCAGGCCUUUAAAUUAUCUUUGGAGGCUGAGUAGUAAUUGAGAGCCCUCAUUAACAACUCUUACUUUGGGCUCAUGUAUGAUCGUUUAUUUUAUUCUUGAGGAUUGUAAUUUUAGUUUUUUAUCUGAAAAAAUAGAUAUAUACUUGGCUUAUGUAGGAGGUUAAUUUGGCCUACAAUGUUUUGUUUUUUGGAUAGUACUAUUAGUAGGUACUUGAAAUUGUAAAAGACAGUAAGUUAUCUUUUUAUGUGUUACUGAAGUUUAUUUAGAGGCGGUACAAAUCAUCCAUCAAUUGCCUAUAGGGGAGUAAG
rnacentral:ncRNA from 1 species